GUGCAGCAGUCGAGAAACCUCCGCAAUACACGAAAGUGUGACGGGGCCAUCCCGAGUGCCGUCCGCUGAGGACGGCUUUUCCCCAGUGUACAUAGCUGGGGGAAUAAGGAGAGGGCAAGCCUGGUGUCAGCCGCCGCGGUAAUACCAGCUCUCCGAGUGGUGGGGGCGCUUAUUGGGCCUAAAGCAUCCGUAGCCGGCUGGGCAAGUCCUCCGUUAAAUCCAACGAUUCAAUCGUU
rnacentral:rRNA from 1 species